AUGCACGCUGGCGGCGUGCCUAAUACAUGCAAGUCGAGCGAACAGAUGAGGAGCUUGCUCCUCUGACGUUAGCGGCGGACGGGUGAGUAACACGUGGAUAACCUACCUAUAAGACUGGGAUAACUUCGGGAAACCGGAGCUAAUACCGGAUAAUAUAUUGAACCGCAUGGUUCAAUAGUGAAAGACGGUUUUGCUGUCACUUAUAGAUGGAUCCGCGCCGCAUUAGCUAGUUGGUAAGGUAACGGCUUACCAAGGCAACGAUGCGUAGCCGACCUGAGAGGGUGAUCGGCCACACUGGAACUGAGACACGGUCCAGACUCCUACGGGAGGCAGCAGUAGGGAAUCUUCCGCAAUGGGCGAAAGCUUGACGGAGCAACGCCGCGUGAGUGAUGAAGGUCUUCGGAUCGUAAAACUCUGUUAUUAGGGAAGACCAAAUGUGUAAGUAACUAUGCACGUCUUGACGGUACCUAAUCAGAAAGCCACGGCUAACUACGUG
rnacentral:rRNA from 1 species